rnacentral:rRNA from 1 species
AGAGUUUGAUUCUGGCUCAGGAUGAACGCUGGCGGCGUGCCUAAUACAUGCAAGUCGAACGAAGCACCUCGGUGCUUAGUGGCGAACGGGUGAGUAACACGUGGGUAACCUGCCCUCAAGACGAGGAUAACCGUUGGAAACGAUGGCUAAGACUGGAUAGGGAUACGGGAGGCAUCUUCUGUAUUUUAAAAGACCUGGCAACAGGUAUGCUUGAGGAGGGGCCUGCGGCGCAUUAGUUAGUUGGUGAGGUGAUGGCUCACCAAGACGAUGAUGCGUAGCCGGACUGAGAGGUUGAACGGCCACAUUGGGACUGAGAGACGGCCCAAACUCCUACGGGAGGCAGCAGUAGGGAAUUUUCGGCAAUGGGGGAAACCCUGACCGAAGCAACGCCGCGUGAACGACGAAGUACUUCGGUAUGUAAAGUUCUUUUAAGAGGGAAGAAUGGCCCGUGGAAAAGCGGGCGUGACGGUACCUUUUGAAUAAGCCCCGGCUAACUAUGUGCCAGCCGCGGC